rnacentral:lncRNA from 1 species
UAAUUCCUUCUCAUCGCUGUGGCUAAUUAGCUCGAUUGUUACUUGACACUUGACAGCGUGAGAUCGAACGUACUGCUGCCUGUGACCAGUUGCCGUUGCCGGCAGAUGAAUACAUACAUACUGUACUGCGAUACUGGCUGCCUGAAGAAUACGUCGGGUGGGGUCCACCCGGUUUAGAGGCAUCGCCAUGCAUGCGUGCGUGCAUGGCCACCAGGGCCGUACGUCCUGGAUCGGACGGAUGCCUCUGCCCUGGACCCCCUCCUACCGGGAAUGACGCGACGUGUGCCGGACGGACGGACGUAGCAGCAGACGAUCGAUGAUGAUUAAGCCGUGGAUACAAGGCAGGCAGGCAAUCACUGCUACAGUAUAGACGUGUGCCACGGCCACCUCUCUGUGUUUUGUUUUUGUAGGACUGUACUGCCUUCCGGUUUUAUUAGUGGUGGACACAAUAAUUUAUCUUUGCAAGAUGGCCGGGUUAUGUGUUGAGCUACUUUUCUGCGGGAAGAGUCAACACUAACAGACAUUGGACGUCGUGGCAGUACAAGUUAGAAUGCUUCCUGCUUUAAUCUUUCUCUCACUCAAGCAAGGCAAUUCGUUUUUUUUUCUUUCAUAAUUUUUUUGGAUAAGAUUUUUCUUUGAUAAUCGGUAGCUAGAAACCUGCAGAGCUAACGCUCGAAUGGAAAUGAUUAUUUUGACGAUAGGAGUAGCAUUUCUUUGUUUUCAUUUUCAGGGUGUUCUGGAGGCCCCGGGCAUAGGGGGGAUAUAGCAGGCAGGCACCAGCAGGACAUAAUGCUCCGUGCAGAGCUUUGGCGUUAAGCGACGUGUGCGUGCACAGUGCUUAAUUGCUGCUGCUGCUGCCAGUAGGUCAAUUAAGGGGAACCAGUACUAAUGAAUAACGAGAGGGCCCACCCGCAUGCAUCCUGCGCCCGUAAACAUCACAUCAGCUGUUACUUCCACGGAAAAGCAAAGGCAGUGGCGACUGUUCCCGGCCCCUUCUCGUCAACAACAAUGGCGAUUGAUGCACGCUGUCCCUCUUCACGUAGG